rnacentral:rRNA from 1 species
AGAGUUUGAUCCUGGCUCAGGAUGAACGCUAGCUACAGGCUUAACACAUGCAAGUCGAGGGGAAACGAUAUUGGAAGCUUGCUUCCGAUAGGCGUCGACCGGCGCACGGGUGAGUAACGCGUAUCCAACCUGCCCACCACUUGGGGAUAACCUUGCGAAAGUAAGACUAAUACCCAAUGAUAUCUCUAGAAGACAUCUGAAAGAGAUUAAAGAUUUAUCGGUGAUGGAUGGGGAUGCGUCUGAUUAGCUUGGUUGGCGGGGUAACGGCCCACCAAGGCGACGAUCAGUAGGGGUUCUGAGAGGAAGGUCCCCCANAUUGGAACUGAGACACGGUCCAAACUCCGUACGGGAGCA